rnacentral:rRNA from 1 species
GACGAACGCUGGCGGCGUGCUUAACACAUGCAAGUCGAACGGAAAGGCCCUGCUUUUGUGGGGUGCUCGAGUGGCGAACGGGUGAGUAACACGUGAGUAACCUGCCCUUGACUUUGGGAUAACUUCAGGAAACUGGGGCUAAUACCGGAUAGGAGCUCCUGCUGCAUGGUGGGGGUUGGAAAGUUUCGGCGGUUGGGGAUGGACUCGCGGCUUAUCAGCUUGUUGGUGGGGUAGUGGCUUACCAAGGCUUUGACGGGUAGCCGGCCUGAGAGGGUGACCGGCCACAUUGGGACUGAGAUACGGCCCAGACUCCUACGGGAGGCAGCAGUGGGGAAUAUUGCACAAUGGGCGGAAGCCUGAUGCAGCAACGCCGCGUGCGGGAUGACGGCCUUCGGGUUGUAAACCGCUUUCGCCUGUGACGAAGCGUGAGUGACGGUAAUGGGUAAAGAAGCACCGGCUAACUACGUGCCAGCAGCCGCGGUGAUACGUAGGGUGCGAGCGUUGUCCGGAUUUAUUGGGCGUAAAGGGCUCGUAGGUGGUUGAUCGCGUCGGAAGUGUAAUCUUGGGGCUUAACCCUGAGCGUGCUUUCGAUACGGGUUGACUUGAGGAAGGUAGGGGAGAAUGGAAUUCCUGGUGGAGCGGUGGAAUGCGCAGAUAUCAGGAGGAACACCAGUGGCGAAGGCGGUUCUCUGGGCCUUUCCUGACGCUGAGGAGCGAAAGCGUGGGGAGCGAACAGGCUUAGAUACCCUGGUAGUCCACGCUGUAAACGGUGGGUACUAGGUGUGGGGUCCAUUCCACGGGUUCCAUGCCGUAGCUAACGCUUUAAGUACCCCGCCUGGGGAGUACGGCCGCAAGGCUAAAACUCAAAGGAAUUGGCGGGGCCCCGCACAAGCGGCGGAGCAUGCGGAUUAAUUCGAUGCAACGCGUAGAACCUUACCUGGGUUUGACAUGGAUCGGGAGUGCUCAGAGAUGGGUGUGCCUCUUUUGGGGUCGGUUCACAGGUGGUGCAUGGCUGUCGUCAGCUCGUGUCGUGAGAUGUUGGGUUAAGUCCCGCAACGAGCGCAACCCUUGUUCACUGUUGCCAGCACGUUAUGGUGGGGACUCAGUGGAGACCGCCGGGGUCAACUCGGAGGAAGGUGGGGAUGACGUCAAGUCAUCAUGCCCCUUAUGUCCAGGGCUUCACGCAUGCUACAAUGGCUGGUACAGAGAGUGGCGAGCCUGUGAGGGUGAGCGAAUCUCGGAAAGCCGGUCUCAGUUCGGAUUGGGGUCUGCAACUCGACCUCAUGAAGUCGGAGUCGCUAGUAAUCGCAGAUCAGCAACGCUGCGGUGAAUACGUUCCCGGGGCU